GACAGAGGCUUCAAGCGUUAGGCGGAAUCACUGGGCUUAAAGCGUGUGUAGGCGGAUCGUUAAGUGUCUUGUGAAAUCCCACGGCUCACCCGUGGAACUGCUGGGCAUACUGGCGAUCUUGGGCCAACUAGGGGCAGCCGGAACAAGCGGUGGAGCGGUGAAAUGCGUAGAUAUCGCUUGGAACGCCGAAGGUGAAAACAGGCUGCUGGGGUUGCGCCGACGCGUGGAGAACACGAAAGCCAGGGGAGCAAACGGG
rnacentral:rRNA from 1 species